AGGAACCAAAUUCUCACAUAUUACUUUACUACAUUUACUACACAUCUUAUGGGGUUGAUCUCACAUAUUCUAUUCUUGCAUUUUGGCGAAAGGGAUGAAUCUUUAAUACACUUGCUAUGUUUCAGAUUGGUGACAUCUCGUACAAGUGAAUUCUUUGAUUGAUGCUAGUUCUUCCGUUCAUCAACUCCUAAAACAGAAAACCCCAGUAAACAAUAAAUGCUACCUAAAUAGUUUCAUCUUUCCACGAGACCAUCUACAAGAAUGACCAAUGCUUUGUAAUUUAUAGCAAUUGUCAAUGUCUAAGUAUCCUCUAGGGGUGAGCAU
rnacentral:misc_RNA from 1 species